rnacentral:rRNA from 1 species
CGUAUAUUAAUGUUGUUGCAGUUAAAAAGCUCGUAGUUGGAUUUCUGGUGGAAGCGUCCGGUCCGCUCCUCACGGAGUGUGUUACUGGUGACGUCUUUUGCCAUCCUUGCGAAGAACGUUUUUGGCAUUAAGUUGUCGAGAAUUGGGACUCGCAUCGUUUACUGUGAAAAAAUUAGAGUGUUUAAAGCAGGCAAUUGCUGUGAAUACAUUAGCAUGGAAUAAUAAGAUAGGACUUUGGUACUAUUUUGUUGGUUUGCAUACCGAAGUAAUGAUUAACAGGGACAGUUGGGGGUAUUCGUAUUUCGUUGUCAGAGGUGAAAUUCUUGGAUUUAUGAAAGACGAACUACUGCGAAAGCAUUUACCAAGGAUGUUUUCAUUAAUCAAGAACGAAAGUUAGGGGAUCGAAGAUGAUUAGAUACCAUCGUAGUCUUAACCAUAAACUAUGCCGACUAGGGAUUGGUGGACGUUGUUUAUGACUCCAUCAGCACCUUAUGAGAAAUCAAAGUCUUUGGGUUCCGGGGGGAGUAUGGUCGCAAGGCUGAAACUUA